CUGAGAAGGAAGAGGAAGAGGCAGAUCAGUGGGAGCAAGUAGGCUUUGUUUUGCUCAGACAAGCCUGGUGUACAACGCAAAAGAGCCAGAGGGAAACUGGUUGGUGAAGAAAGUCAAGCACCUAACAUGAUAAUGACCCAAAUGUUUUCUCAGGAGCUGGUUGAUGGAGAUAAAUAGAGAGAUGGAUAAAGGACAGAGGCCGCUGUGUCAAGUGGAUUAUUGGACACACCCAGGGAACAAAGCAAACAAAGAGGGAGGGAG
rnacentral:lncRNA from 15 species